GUGACCUGAUCCUAGGUGCCUAGGGACAGCAUCGUUUAGGGAUUUUUGAGAAGGCGCGAUGCUGGCGCCGAGCGACGCCGUGGCGUGUUCGUCCUCGGCGUGAUCGUUCUCUGGACCGCGCGUUGUUCAACAUUGCUCAUGUGAUUGUUACGUGCGUUGCUUGUGUGUUGGUUGUAGGUUCUGUGUUAUUGGCGGAAAGCCGUGAGUAGUGGUGGUGCGGCAGUGUGGCUUUGACCUCGGUGAGCUCUGGCAGUACAGAAUCUGCCUUGUGUGACCCGUGCUUUCUUGAGAACCCGGCGGUGGUGACAAUUGAAAUAAUUAAGUGGCCUAGCGCCUUGGCAGCGAACCGCGAUGUGGCGUCGCCGUGUCCGACUUUGCUUAGCGGACAUCGAGGGAUGUGCUGCUCGCUGCAAGUCAUAUAAAUGCAACUGCGUCGACCGCCCACUGUUCAGCGCUGAAUGUGUGUUUGGUGUGCUGUGCUUGAAACGAGUGGUGCAGCCGUGCAGAGGGGGUGGCGGAGUAGCAGAGUGGCUUAGGGGCUCCGUUUGCGAAUUCACAGACAUGUGCUCCCGUCUUGGUCUCAUUAGCUGCUGUCGCGGGAUUGUGGUGUGCUAGCUCCUUGCCUAGUAUGAAGUGAUGUGAUAGCACAAUUUUUAUUAAGUGGACAAGAUGUUGCCGAGAUGGUUGCAGCACAACGUUUUUUUUCUUCCAGGCACCUUUUCUAUACUUGAAGCUUCCGUUGCAGUGUUUCGAGCCUCUUUGAACCAGCACGUAGUGUAUAUAAAAAUUGGACACUGAUUGGGAACAUCACCUAAGUUCAUGCCUAUAUAUAGUAAAAAGAUGUAGCACGACCAGACAAAAUAAAAGAAGGGGGUGGGCUGCAGCAAUACUAAGUGUUAAAUGGUGCUUUAUCCUUUCCCUAAGUUUUCUGUUUUUGUGCUUUUUAUGGAUCCUCCGCAGUAACCACGCGAGUGCCGAACUUGAGCUUGUUGUUUUCAAGUCUCAUGGUUGUUACUAACAGAACAGUGUGAUAAACGAACAAGGGCUUGGAGGCAUCCGUUCACCUUGCUUGCCUCAUGGUGCUGCUUCAUACCCACGAAACACAGAACCUCUUAAAAACUUCUUGAAACGGCUACAAACGGCUAUAGACGUCUUGGUCUAUGAUAAGACUGAAAAUAGAAUUUCUUCUAAACAUAACCUCAGCACUUGGAAUAUGCUAGUAUAUAUUCUAUAUGCGGCAAAACCCACUACUGGUGUCACUAGAGUGUUUUGGUAAACGCAUUCAGAAUGUCUAACUCAAGAACUUUUCUAGAUCUUUUUGUCUAAAAGUGCAUAAAAUGGCAAACGGCGUGUUAAAAGUGCGGUUACCGUUGGCCGUCGGCGUUAGCGAAUAAAAGACGCCACAGACAAAUCGAACUCGUUGGAAGCAACAUAAGUUAAUUGGCUUUGAUAUUAAAUAAUUUCACACCAGAACUUCAACAAUCAAGGGCGUGUUAUUGUUUUCCAUACGGGGCGCGCACACGACGCCUGGAAGCCAUUCUAUGCUCGCGCAGCAGGUAUACUGACAGCAGCAGGAGCGUAACGCCGGCGUUGCACAGCGGUGUCACCGAGCCACCGCGCUGCGAUCACUUCGGCGGAAACUUAAUCCAAAUUUGUCGGACAUCUCAUUCUGUGCUGGAAACACUGGGAGGCAGGAAGUUUGAAAAAACGGCCACUGCCGCCCGCAAUGUCUCGGUCGUGGGCUGGUCGUGGGUUCGUUAUGCCAGUUGUGCGUCAUUCUAAGCCGUUCUGUACAUUUAUACUGGAUAUUAAUUGGAGUCAUUUAGCUGUGCUGAUGCUGUUUGCCGUGUGUUUUGCAUCAGUGCUUCGUGACAUCGGCUGUAUUGCGUGUUUUCGCCGACGGCUUACUACCACAAUGGCGGGAUCUGCGUUCGCCGCCUUCGUGUCUCGGUGCGUCUUUGUACGUCGCACGUUCGGAUAACACUUUUUGCGACUGCUGGACAUCCUUCUUGUACCUUGGCGCUAGCUGGAUGACGGGACCUCAUCAUGAUCAGUGUAUUGCUUGCCUAUGUCUACAAGAACCGUCACGCGUGGCCUGUGACAGCAAGCUUUUGUGGGCAGCAAGUGCUCUCCUACGAAGGCUGGCCUACUCUGGCAGCGGCGGCAAUCAUCUUCAAGAUUUAUCCAUAAUCACCUUUGCUGCUUUUUGUCACUCUUGUUGAUUACACUUUCUGCGUCUUUUCUAAUUUAUUAGGUAAUAAAGUAUGAGUAAGUGACAUGGUGUGAAGUUGACGUC